AUCAUGUUUUUGAAUUUUUUUUUACUUAGGUUUUUCAGUAUGUUUAUAAUCUAAUUCAGAAUAUAUUUUAUGUUCAUCUGACUUAGGUUUAUCUAAAUUUGAUUGUUGGGUAUUUUAUAUUAUUGAAAUUUCAUUACCUUACUUAGGGUUUUAUAAAUGUUGUUGUUGUAAUAGAUGAUAUGUUUUAUGUGGUUGAUGAAAUCAUUUUUUGAUUUAUGGAUUUAUAAUUUUGAUUGUUGAUUAUUUUAUAUUUUUGAAAUUUCAUUUUCUUACUUAGGGUUUGAAUAUAUCAUCACUAUAAUAGAGGAUGGGAUAAUGGGAUAAAAACAUUCUAUUUGAAUGUGCUAAUCUCUUAGUAAUUAACUCUGUUAAAGGCAUCUGGUCAACACUGUUUAGGGUAAAAAUUACCCUUACAUGUGGUCUAAUCCUAUAGUGACACGUGGCUUAAUAAAAAAGGCAACACGUGUCCCAGUAGGAAGAAGACACGUGGCAAACAUAAGGGCAUCUGAAAGAUAGAAGGCCUCCUUACAUUAUGAGGCCUAAAUCCUGAGAAAGGCGCCAUAAGAACGCCCCCAAAGGACACGUGUCCCUACCUGAUUGGCUCCAAUCAGAUCUCCCCUUUUUAGGGCACCAACCUUAGAAUGCGCAUAUUCCCACCCCUAUAAAUACCCCAAUCAUUUAUGACGGGAAGGGUAGAUAGAGACAUCUCAUUCAAGGCUUAUUAAAUUGCUCUAACUUCUCUCUCUAAAUUCUUUCGCUUAUUGAUCAUUAACUUGAUCGUCGGAGGCAAAUCUUCCGUCAAACGGUAUAUUCGUUGUUUUGCAGGUGUUUGCGGCUGUCCGGCUAUAUUCACGACCUGCAUCCCGAGGGAAUCCAAAAAAACACCAAAACAUUUGGCGCCGUAUGUGGGGAUACACGUCUGAAAUGGCUAAAGACAGGCAGACACCCGGUCCUGGUUAGGAAGGAUAUCACUAGUAGAAAAAAUGAAAUAGGCACCCCCCUUUUAGCACCGGUUCUUGAAAACCGGUGCCAAAAGAAAUGGGCGGGAUUGAAAAAAUCAGUGUUGGCACCGGUUCCAACCAAAACCGGUGCCAAUUAUUUAAUUAGAACCGCUUCAAACCGGUGCCCACUUAUUAAAAAAAUAUUAAAAAAAAAUCCAGGCUCCUGCUUUUCUUUCUUUCUUUCCCCCUGUUUUUUCCAUCUUCUGUUUUCCCUCUAGUUUUUACCUUCUCUUCCACCAUCCCGAAUUUUCACCUUCUCCAUUGAAGUUGUUUACGAGCUUUCUCACUCCAUUGAAGCAGCACCUCCUUCUCUCUCCAUAUCUCUGGCCUCCAUUGAACUCGUGCUCUAUAUUCUCCAUUGAAGCCGAUUCUGAGCUUUCUCACCUCCAUUGAAGCAGCUUCGAGGGUUCUGGUUUUAGUGUUCUGGUUUUAUUUCUCACCUCCAUUGAAGCAGCUUCGAGGAAUUGUAGAUCUAGUUUGUUUGCUCCACAAAAAAGAGUUCAAAUUCAAAGGAGGAAGCAAGAGCAGUAGGGCUGCUGAGAAGUGAGAAAAUGGCAAAUUUAGUUGGGUGUUGUUGUGAGGGUGAUGAGAGAUUGCUAGUUGCUGAGUUCAUGCCCAAUGAAACACUUUCUAAGCAUCUCUUUCACUGGGAAAAUCAGCCUUUGAAAUGGGCUAUGAGGUUGAGAGUGGCAUUGUGUUUAGCACAAGCCUUGGAAUAUUGUAGCAGUAAAGGAAGAUCAUUGUACCCCAACCUUAAUGCUUAUAGAGUUCUAUUUGACCAGGAUGGUAAAACAGCCGAGAUGGCAAAAGCUAUAGUACAAAUUUGGCUUUCACUCCUCCUGAGUACAUGAGGACAGGUCGAAUUUCUUCAGAGAGCGUGAUCUACAGUUUUGGCACCUUACUGCUUGACCUGCUCAGUGGGAAACAUAUACCGCCAAGCCAUGCACUUGAUCUUAUACGUGGAAAAAACUUUUCGAUGUUGAUCGACUCUAAUUUAGAGGGCCAUUUUUCAAAUGAUGAUGGAACUGAAUUAGUACGAUUAGCAUCACAUUGCUUGCAGUAUGAAGCUCGUGAAAGGCCUAAUGCCAGAUCUCUUGUGAUAGCUCUUACUCCACUUCAGAAAGAAACUGAGAUACAAGUAUGAUAUUGGGGAAUUACGAGUACACUUCUAUUAUCAAUAAAACAAGGGGGUAGUUGCAGCAGGGAGGGGGGAGGUGCAGCAGGGGGCCGGGGCAGGUGGAGCAGGGAUGUAUUAAUCAUCGGAUAAAGGGCCCUGAAUCUAUUGCUGAUCAUAUGUAUCGAAUGGCGUUGAUGGGUUUGAUUGCUGCAUGGGGACAUUCCGGGUGUGAAUAGGGAGAGGUUGGAUGUUAACCAAUUAUGCUUGUUUUGGACAUAUUGAUAUUUCCCUUGUUAAUGAGCUGUAUUAUCUUCUUUUGACAAUGCUUUGCACAGAUGUAUCAAGAUGGCAGUAGUUCAUGAUAUUGCUGAAGGACAUCAGAGCAAUAACGAGCAAGACAGCCCAACAAAUAAGAGCACAUCAGAGCGCCACCAGCACAACACCACAACAGCUCACCAAUACCGCAACACAGAGGACCACACAGCAGAACCCAGCAAAAACAGCAGCCUGACCAGCAAGCAACACAGCACUACAGCAGAACAGCAAACGCCUAGCACAGCCUAACCAGAGCAGAACAGAAACACAACAGCUCAAGAACUCAAACCAGUCACCUAGCCAGCCUGAACAUAACAGAGACACAGACACAAAAGCAAACAGAUGCCCAGCCAGCAUGAACAGGUAGAGGCACAGCAGCGCAGCAGAACAGAAACAACAGAGCAGUCUGGAUUAUUUAAUUUUUUUGGACGAAAAUUGUAAUAUUACAGCCUUUUUUAAUGAAAUAAUGUAACUUAAUAUAUAUGUUAACGUUUCUAUAUCAAUUUAAGUGAAAAAAAUGCAAAAAAAAAAAAUUUAUUUU